CUACCAUUAAGAGGAGGCAAUGCUAGAUGGAAAAACCAAAUCGUGUCAACAGAAACUUCAAUCUGUUCAGGGAAUCCAGAGAUUAUAUGAUGACAGAUCACAACAACAUACAGAUAAAAUGUGUGGGCCUUUUCAACUGACUCCAGCUUCAAGUCUACCAAACUUUAUUUUUCCUGCCAUGGAGAAGAGUCCAUCCACCCCUAACGUCACAAGUGCUCUCCAGCCAAUGAAGACCCAGAUUGAAGUCGGGCUGAUUCCUGACCAAUCAGUGGAGUGUGCAGGGAUUUUGAAUGGCUGUCAAAGGGGAUAA
rnacentral:lncRNA from 11 species